rnacentral:lncRNA from 1 species
AUUGGAUCAUGGAAGAGCUAGGUACUUAAGCAGUCUAAUUGACUCACCUCCUCUUUUCUUGAAUCCUACCUGGUGCGUAGUAUCCAUUCACUUUAAGCCAUGACAAAGAAGGUUUGAUUUUUUUGAUACUUAACUGUUUUUUUUAAAAUAACAUGUUUCUGCCACUACAAAGGUUUACAAGUUUUCAAAGUUUCCCAUAAGAUUUUACAAGGUUGUUAACAAUGCUUUGAUUAUUACAAUGAAUCACGUUUUGGAAAAAAAAAGGCUAAGGUUUUAUUCAAGUUUAAACGGUAAAAGUUUCUAAACAUCAAGAAGGGUUUUCAAUGAAAACAUGGUUUUCGAAAAACACUUCAAUGUGACACGCCGGAUUCGGUCGUAACGUCUGGGCCGAGUUUGGGGUGUUACAAUCUCUGAAAUUUUUGUUCAAUUGCGGCAUGGGAUGUAUCGGCAUUCCAGCAUCUGUAUAGUACUAUGUGAUCUUGCUUUGACAUUUUCCUUGUUAAGGUAGUACAAGAUUGUUACGCCUUGGUGGUCACUCAAUGGUUACUCAGAAGACCAAAAGUGGGCGGCCUACUAGUUGGCUUAGGUGAGUUCCACGGGUGACUACUCAUGCUUGCUUUGAUCGAGGGAGGGGGCACAUUGAAG